GUCUGGUCGCCCCCUCUCAAAAAGGGUGUAUUAGAACUGGGAAAAGUGCAGGGAAGGGCAACAAAAAGGGUGAGGGGCAUGGAACGGCUGCUGUAGGAGGAGAGAUGAGUAAGACUGGGACUGUUCAGCUCGGAAAAGAGACGACUGAGGGGGGAUAUAACAGAGGUCUAUAAAAUAAUGACUGUUUUGGAGAAAGUAAAUAAGGAAGUGUUAUUUACUCCUUCCUAUAAUACAAGAAC